rnacentral:rRNA from 1 species
UGGGGAAUUUUGGACAAUGGGCGAAAGCCUGAUCCAGCAAUGCCGCGUGUGUGAAGAAGGCCUUCGGGUUGUAAAGCACUUUUGUCCGGAAAGAAAUCCUUGGCUCUAAUACAGUCGGGGGAUGACGGUACCGGAAGAAUAAGCACCGGCUAACUACGUGCCAGCAGCCGCGGUAAUACGUAGGGUGCAAGCGUUAAUCGGAAUUACUGGGCGUAAAGCGUGCGCAGGCGGUUUGCUAAGACCGAUGUGAAAUCCCCGGGCUCAACCUGGGAACUGCAUUGGUGACUGGCAGGCUAGAGUAUGGCAGAGGGGGGUAGAAUUCCACGUNUAGCAGUGAAAUGCGUAGAGAUGUGGAGGAAUACCGAUGGCGAAGGCAGCCCCCUGGGCAAUACUGACGCUCAUGCACGAAAGCGUGGGGAGCAAACAGGAUUAGAUACCCUGGUAGUCCACGCCCUAAACGAUGUCAACUAGUUGUUGGGGAUUCAUUUCCUUAGUAACGUAGCUAACGCGUGAAGUUGACCGCCUGGGGAGUACGGUCGCAAGAUUAAAACUCAAAUGAAUUGACGGGGUCAUAGCUGUUUCCU